GCUUCUUUGGGCAGCUGUGCCAGCAUCUCACUGCCCCCUAGGCAGACAAAUGAAGCAUAACUGCUUCCAGAGGCACACAAGGAUGAAGGCUUGACUGCCACUAGGAAAAAAAAAGGUAGGAAUACUUAGACCUUAUUCAUGAUUUUCCAAUUUCAGCCAAUAAAGCAUGCAUUAUUUUACUUUUAAGCAAGCAAGGAAGCCCAUUUUAACCACUCCCCUCUAGGGGUGUCAACGUAUUACUUCAUCCCCCAAAAGCCAGCUCACACAUUUGAAUAGUGAGAAGCAUGAAAAAAAAAAAACACCAUAAAAACUGCGGUAGCCACAGACGCAUUUUUCUCCUCACCUCUUUCAUUUCUUUUGUAAUGCCAUCAUGGUACAUUUCUCUAAGGCACUUCUAACAAUAUGUUCCCUCUCUUGAACAAAAAUAGAAAUAUUUUUAAUUAUAGUACUAGUAGAGUUACAUACAGAAGGAAAAACAUAUGAAUGCUAUCGUGGCUACUUUUAAUAUCUGAAUGCUGAACAUACUUCCCAAGUUGAUCCAACUCACAAACUAGUAUGAAAGAGAAAGGCUAAGAAUGUUUCAGAAAAGCCCCAAACACAGGAAAGAAAGCAAUCUUUCUUCUCCUUCUUCUGUGGUUAUUGACUAAUUGCAGAGUUUAAAGAUGAAAAAGAUGAUGUGGUACAUCCAGUUCAGGCCAGAGCCCUACACUUUUGCCCACCUGAUCUGUAAGCAUAGGCAUGGUGGUAUCAGUUCCUAGGCAUCGAAACAGCAAAGGCAGAGGACAAACACAGGCUAAAUGUUUGGACAGCAGUUUGCAAGUGAUCAGUACGUGCCGUUCACGUUGUUAGAAAGCCACAUUUGCUUCUUAAGUGCUUCACUUUGACAAAGCACUGUCUGAAUUAAGAAGAGCUGCAAUUAUUCAGCCAGCAGCAAGAAAAAGAGGAAAGAGCAAAGCAGCAUCUUAACAGAAAACACAAAGAGGUUGAGCAGUGGAUUGUAUUAUCUGGACUAUUUUCAAGGACUGCUAACAAUUUCUUGUAUCAUCAGCUUUCCUAUUUGCAGAAGGACAGCAUCUCACAAUUAUUUUCUGUUAGAGUAGGCUAGGCUUUUCUCUUGGCUAACAAGCAGUACAAACCUAUGCAGACAUCUCACACUUUAUUACUUCAGCAAUCAGCUGAUAAUCUGGCAAAUGAUACCGCAGCAGUAAGGUCAGCCUGCCAAUAAGAAAAUUCAAACCGAACAGCUGCCAAAAGCAUAGGGCUCACUUUACCUCUUUCUGUUCUUCCAAUUCAUUAUCUCACACUCAACCCUAAGAUCCUUUUCCUUUCCUUGUAGCAGGUCUAUCUAUUUCCCUUUUACUGUGUGAGUUUCCUAACAGGUUAUGAGAAUUAAGCAUUUCAAGCAAAGGCUAGCAUCAGAGCUGUCUCUAGGUAUGAAGCAGAAAUGCACAACCAGGUGAACUAAGAAAGGUGAUGGAAAGAAGCAGCUUCCUAUUUUGCUGGCUGUGGCCCAGCCACACUUUCCUAGGAGGAAUCUGUGCCAUCCAUCCUGGAACUCUAAGAGAGACGUACAAGUCUGGGAAAGCUGUGUUAUCCAGCAGUGGCUCUCUGCCUUGCUCCCAGUUGCUGUUGUCUCAUUAACAGAUAAGAGAAAGUUGUGUUUAAUGCUUUGCUUUUUCUUUUCUUUGUAAGUACACUCUCGUUAUUAGGAAACUUAAGCCAGUGUAAGGUAAAGUAGUACACAAGCACAGACUACUUACACAUUUAACUACCCUAGGAAAAAAGAAACUCACAUCCUCUAGAGCCUCUUUGUCUUCUACUUAUUUGCAUGUCAAUAACUUAAUCUCCGUUAAGGCUACAGGGACUGUGGAAAAAAAAAACACACCAUGCAAAUGUAAAGGGUAACAAUUCAUCUGUUUUCUCAAAACAGUUUUAAAUAAGAACCUGUUCAAAGACUUACAGGAAUCUUGAGGGAGGAGAAUCAAGGGAAGUAUUGCUCCUCCAGGUGGUGUUCUGGGAGACAGGCAGCAACACUGCAUGAUGUAACAAGCACUUGUGAACCACUGGUGCAGAACUGCGGACCAAAGGGCACCUUCUCCCUUCAUGUAACUCAGGAGCUGUAAUACACAACUUCAGCAGCUGGUUUCUGAUGAAAGCUCAUUCACAGAGUGGCAGCUCUGAUGUUCUAAUUAUAACAUUAACAGGUACCAAGCCAUUAAAAUGUGGAAUUAAGAUGAA